AAAGAAUCAUGCCGCGUGUAGUUCAGAAGUGAAUGAGAUGAUGGAGUGUGUGGAGAGGAUGAGAGGGUCGAGUGAGGUCCCGUUCCGCCGAGGUUUCGGUCCGCGGUCCUGUUAUUACAUCAAAAUCAAAAAAAUGAAAAAGAUUAACUAAGUCUGUCACCUAUGAGUUACAAGAUUCCUAUCUAUAAGUCUUCUGAAGCUUGAUCUUGUGUCUUGCAUGGCUCUUCAUGCGGACUUUAGAUUUGAGCCUUGACCCUUGCUAACUGCAGGUACUAGUUCAUUCUUCUUUAGCUUUUCGGAUCAAGACCGGACAUGUAGCGCUCAUGACUUCAACCAUGUCUUGAGCAGCUCACAUCUUUUAUCAACUCCUGCGCCUUUAUUUUAUUUUGGAUGUGACUAACUUCUGUUGAUCAUCUCAGACUGUUGACUCGCAUUCUUACCGCGAGCUUCUUUUGUUGCUGACUUGAAUUGUAUUCUGAAGUGAAUUCCCUUGAUUUUCCAGGUGGGUGCCUAAUUGCCAAAACUUGAACUGUCUUCCUUUGAAAUUGCUUUCCCUUGAAACUUGAAUUGUCUUCCCUUGUUCUCCAGGUGGGCGCCUGAUUGUUGAACUUGAACUGUCUUCCUUUGAAACUGAUUUCCCGUGAAACUUGAACUGUCUUCUCUUGAAACUUGAACUAUCUUCCCUUGAAACUUGAACUGCCUUCCCUUGUUCUCCAGGUGGGCGCCUGAUUGCUGAAACUUUCUAUGUUCCCCCGGAACUGCUUUCCCUUGAAACUUGCAUUGUCUUCCCUUGAAACUUGAACUAUCUUCCCUUGUUCUCCAGGUGGGUGCCUACAAUCAAAACAACAAAACAAACAAAAUUUCCUGCCCCAAUUUACACUCGGAAGAUUUGUGAGUUGUUAGCAAAACUGUAAACCACUUAUGCUAUUGAUGCAAUGAUGAAAGUAAAAUUAAUGACUCAACUAGGAUGUACAUCUCCUAAAAGUGAUUGAGCUUGCGGAAAACUAUAAACUAAGCUUGACUAAAGUAAAGACUAACCCCAUUCUCCAGGAGGGACCCCUGAUUUCAAGAAAACUAAACAUUGAUAACUUAAGAAACUAAGGUUGACCCCUCUUUUUUUCAAAUCCAGACUUCCCCCUUUUUUCAAAUUAUCCUAGGAGAAAAUUCGUCAGAGUAGGUUUUCUAUCUUAGGAGAAAGAUUCAUCAGACUAAGAUUUUGAUCCUAGGAGAAAGUUCAUCAGACUAGGUCAUUUUUAUCAGUAUCUUAGGAGAAAGAGUCAUCAGACUAAGAUUUCCACCCUAGGAGAAGAUUCAUCAGACUAGGUUUUCUAUCUUAAAUGAAAAAUUCAUCAGACUAAGAUUUCGAUCCUAGGAGAAAGUUCAUCAGACUAGGUCUCUUUUUUUUCAGUAUCUUAGGAGAAAGAUGCAUCAGACUAAGAUUUUUGUCCUAGGAGAAAAAUCAUCAGACUAGGUUUUCUAUCUUAGGAGAAAGAUUCAUCAGACUAAGAUGUUUAUCCUAGGAGAAAAUUUAUCAGAGUAGGACUUCUAUCUUAGGAGAAAGAUU
rnacentral:lncRNA from 1 species